CAUCUGUUUAUCCUAUCAUUGAAACUUUAGAUUCUGUUAUGUCGAUGACGAUUUGUGAUCACUUCCUAACAGGGUCUUCCUCAGUCUUCAAAGCAUUUCUCAUUCAUAGUCACCGAAACUGAAGAACCGUGGAAGUUUACCAAAGAAGAUUCUGAAGAAUUGUGUUCUUUUUUUUUUAAACAAAAUGUGGAGACUCAAGAUUGCGAGAGAGAGUGUUGGCGAUGGCGAUUGUGGGGGAUGUCUAAGGAGUUUGAACAAUCAUGUGGGUCAAGUAUGGGAAUUCUGCCCUGAAUUAGCAACCCCGAAAGAGCUUUCUAAGGUGGAAAUGGCUCGUCAGAAUUUCCGGGAUAACCGUUUCCAGAAAAAAAGCACAGUUCUGAUCUUCUCAUGAGAAUUCAGUUCGCAAAGGAGAAACAAUCUAUCACUAGUUUACCAAAAAUCAAACUGAAAGAGUUCGAAGAUGUUGAGGAAGAGGCUGUAGUGACAACAUUACGCAGAGCCUAAAUAUUUAUUCAACAAUACAAGCUGAAGAUGGUCACUGGCCUGGAGAUUACGGCGGCCCUAUGUUUCUACUUCCUGGUUUGUUUAUAACAUUAUAUGUUACUGGAGCCUUGAAUACCAUCCUAUCAAAGGAGCAUCAAUAUGAGAUAGGCAGAUAUCUAUACAAUCACCAG